GUCUUAUUGAUAAUAAUUUUAAGUCGAUCUGCCCAAUGAGAAAUUAAAUGGCUGCAGUAUAAUUGACUGUACAAAGGUAGCAUAAUCAAUUGGUUUUUAAAUGAAAUCUGGAAUGAAAGGAUUAAUGAAAUAUACACUGUCUCAAACUUAUUUAAUGAAAUUAAAAUUUUAAUUAAAAUGUUAAAAUUUGUUUAUGGGACGAUAAGACCCUAUAGAAUUUUAUAUUAGUACAUCUCAGCUCUUAAGGCAGAAAAUGUGCUAAUAUUUAGUUGGGAGGACUAUUAAAUUUAAUAAACUUUAAUUUAUGAUAACUUUGAUUUAAGAAAAUAGCAAUGAUCUUUAAAUUAAAAUAGCUAGAUUAAAUUACCUUAGGGAUAACAGCGUAAUAUUUUUUUAUAGAUCGUAUAGAAAAAAAUGAUUGCGACCUCGAUGUUGAAUUAAGAUAAAUUUUAAACGCAGGAGUUUAAUAAUUAAGUCUGUUCGACUUUUAAAAUCUUACAUGAUUUGAGUUCAAAUCGACGUAAGU
rnacentral:rRNA from 1 species